rnacentral:rRNA from 1 species
UACGAAGGCAGCAGUGGGGAAUAUUGCACAAUGGGCGCAAGCCUGAUGCAGCCAUGCCGCGUGUAUGAAGAAGGCCUUCGGGUUGUAAAGUACUUUCAGUCGUGAGGAAGGUGUUAAGGUUAAUAACCUUAGCAAUUGACGUUAGCGACAGAAGAAGCACCGGCUAACUCCGUGCCAGCAGCCGCGGUAAUACGGAGGGUGCGAGCGUUAAUCGGAAUUACUGGGCGUAAGGGCACGCAGGCGGUUAAUUAAGUUGGAUGUGAAUCCCCGGGCUUAACCUGGGAAUGGCAUUCAAGACUGGUUAGCUAGAGUCUUGUAGAGGGGGUAGAAUUCCAUGUGUAGCGGUGAAAUGCGUAGAGAUGUGGAGGAAUACCGGUGGCGAAGGCGGCCCCUGGACAAAGACUGACGCUCAUGUGCGAAAGCGUGGGGAGCAAACAGGAUUAGAUACC